rnacentral:misc_RNA from 1 species
UCUGUUCUUCCACGCAGCACCAGACGCACGACUCUCCUCUGUCUUCUCUGUGCCGCCUCCUCGCCGAGCUGCGCGCUGCCAACCGCGCUGGUGAACUCGCCCGGUCCGGCGCACUGCUCAUCUCGGCUCCUUUGGAAAUCCUUCGCGAACGUCUCGCCAAGUUGUCAGGCCCGUCUUCGAGUUUGGUGGAGUCCCAAGCUUGCGCGCCGUCGGCCUCUUCCUCCUGUGUCCUAACGUCGUCGUCCCUGCUCACUUCAUCCAACUGCUCCCUUCAUCUCGGCCGAACUCGACGUCCAGCAAGCCGCCUGCUCGUGUUCCAUCUCUUCAACCAUCAGCUUCCGUGGAACACACUGAUCACGUUGUCUGUUGAUCAAUCACUUGGUGGAGUAAUUUUCUAGAGACCGGUCA